rnacentral:tRNA from 1 species
UUUAAUAUGGCAGAUAAGUGCCUUGAAUUUAAAAUUCAAUAAUAAAGUUAUUUAACUUUUAUUAAAA